rnacentral:rRNA from 1 species
GAUGAACGCUGGCGGCGUGCUUAACACAUGCAAGUCGAACGAAGCACUCUAUGUGAUUUUUUUCGGAAAUGAAGAUUUUGUGACUGAGUGGCGGACGGGUGAGUAACGCGUGGGUAACCUGCCUCAUACAGGGGGAUAACAGUUGGAAACGACUGCUAAUACCGCAUAAGCGCACGGUAUCGCAUGGUACAGUGUGAAAAACUCCGGUGGUAUGAGAUGGACCCGCGUCUGAUUAGCUAGUUGGUGGGGCAACGGCCUACCAAGGCGACGAUCAGUAGCCGACCUGAGAGGGUGACCGGCCACAUUGGGACUGAGACACGGCCCAAACUCCUACGGGAGGCAGCAGUGGGGAAUAUUGCACAAUGGGGGAAACCCUGAUGCAGCGACGCCGCGUGAACGAAGAAGUAUUUCGGUAUGUAAAGUUCUAUCAGCAGGGAAGAUAAUGACGGUACCUGACUAAGAAGCACCGGCUAAAUACGUGCCAGCAGCCGCGGUAA